rnacentral:tRNA from 1 species
CGGCCACGUCGUUCGGGUUGGUGCCGGCGCAGCUGCCACCUCCGCCUCCCGUGACGGUGAGCGUGUAGGUGGCGGUGCGGUUCGCCGUGCCCGCC